CUUCAGGGAUCCGAGCCAGAGGGGCUGGUCAGCGGGGCGGUCCUGGCCGUAGGCGGCCAGCAGCGCCUGGGCUUC
rfam:Streptomyces albus subsp. albus strain NRRL B-2513 B2513contig117.1, whole genome shotgun sequence.